UACGUAGGGCGCAAGCGUUGUCCGGAAUUAUUGGGCGUAAAGAGCUCGUAGGCGGCUUGUUGCGUCGGUUGUGAAAGCCCGGGGCUUAACCCCCGGGUCUGCAGUCGAUACGGGCAGGCUAGAGUGUGGUAGGGGAGAUCGGAAUUCCUGGUGUAGCGGUGAAAUGCGCAGAUAUCAGGAGGAACACCGGUGGCGAAGGCGGAUCUCUGGGCCAUUACUGACGCUGAGGCGCGAAAGCGUGGGGAGCAAACAGG
rnacentral:rRNA from 1 species